AAUAUGGCGUGUCACUGCAUG
rnacentral:misc_RNA from 1 species